CGAUCGAGCGGCGAGCUGAAUCCUUUGCAGACGACUUAAAUACGCGACGGGGUAUUGUAAGGGUAGAGUGGCCUUGCUGCACGAUCCUCUGAGAUUCAGCCCUUUGUCGCUCCGAUUCGU
rnacentral:ncRNA from 1 species